rnacentral:rRNA from 1 species
GACGAACGCUGGCGGCGUGCCUAAUACAUGCAAGUUGAGCGAUGAAGAUUGGUGCUUGCACCAAUUUGAAGAGCAGCGAAAGGGUGAGUAACGCGUGGGGAAUCUGCCUUUGAGCGGGGGACAACAUUUGGAAACGAAUGCUAAUACCGCAUAACAACUUUAAACAUAAGUUUUAAGUUUGAAAGAUGCAAUUGCAUCACUCAAAGAUGAUCCCGCGUUGUAUUAGCUAGUUGGUGAGGUAAAGGCUCACCAAGGCGAUGAUACAUAGCCGACCUGAGAGGGUGAUCGGCCACAUUGGGACUGAGACACGGCCCAAACUCCUACGAGAGGCAGCAGUAGGGAAUCUUCGGCAAUGGACGAAAGUCUGACCGAGCAACGCCGCGUGAGUGAAGAAGGUUUUCGGAUCGUAAAACUCUGUUGGUAGAGAAGAACGUUUGUGAGAGUGGAAAGCUCAUCAAGUGACGGUAACUACACAGAAAGGGACGGCUAACUACGUG